rnacentral:rRNA from 1 species
UACGUAGGUGGCGAGCGUUGUCCGGAUUUACUGGGCGUAAAGAGCGCGCAGGCGGCUGGUCAAGUCCGAUGUGAAAGCUCCCGGCUUAACUGGGAAAUUGCAUCGGAAACUGAUCGGCUGGAAGGUGGGAGAGGGUAGCGGAAUUCCCGGUGUAGUGGUGAAAUGCGUAGAUAUCAGGAGGAACACCUGCGGUGUAGACGGCUUUCUGGACCAUUGUUGACGCUGAGACACGAAAGCGUGGGUAGCAAACAGG